GCAAGCCAAGCAGGCACGUACCCGCUUGGAGACUGUCUGGAGUCUGUCUGAAAUUGAUAAAAUUGGAGAUGGAGUUUUUACAUCUGUUUGCACAUUUACAAGGAAGCCGCCUGUUGGGAAUGGGAAUUUUUGUUGCACUCCUCCUCAAAUGCCUUCGCCCGCGAGCCGCCACGCUUAGCCCCAAAAUAUUUUUGAGAUAAACGCUGUGAAAGUUUUUUCCUCCUGCAGUCUAUCAGCAGACAGCUCUUUAUGCACAGGGGAUCAGCCGUCAGCCCUGGAGUUCAAGAGGAGUGCACCAUCCGGAAGGCAGCCUGCACCAGCUCAGAAAGGGCCUGUCCCAAACUUGAUCCAGUGUCUGACAAAAAAAUGAUUGGAAUUGCAAUCAGGAAGGAGCUCCAUGGUUUCCUGCAGCCUGUCAUGCCUUCACGCCUUCGACGCUGGACUGUGUCCACCCAAAUGGUCUGGCUGCCACUUCAUAACAACUCUAUUGCAAGGCAUCCCACAUCCCAACUGCAGUGUGGAGAAUUUUAAGUGUAGAGAGCUGGUGGUGGACUAGGAGGAAGAUGUCAUGGUUUUUUGGUGAUGAUGUUGCUGCUGUUGAUGCAGCGUCGAGCUCUCACUUUGUGCCUCUGUCAGUUAUGAUGCGUAACCACAAAGUGAGUGACAGGCCAGUCCCCAGGGAGAGCAGGGGGCCUGAGGACGCCACCGGGCUGCAGGGAUGGCGCAGCCGGUUCUCCGCUGGCGUUUGAACCGGGGCUGCGCGUAAAAGAAAAAAGGGGGCAUCGAGGAGGACCAGAGGAGCAGCAAGACUCAGACUGAGAUUGUCUUACACGUCACCAGCGCUCAGUACUAUGGAGUACUACAAAAGGUGACGCGCAGAAGGAGGAUUUGUGAAUGGACGCCGUGAUGUGUGCCAGCUCACAGAUCAGAGGGUGGUGGGACCUCUGCAGAUGCACC